rnacentral:rRNA from 1 species
UACGGGGGGAGCAAGCGUUGUUCGGAUUUACUGGGCGUAAAGGGCGCGUAGGCGGUCGUGACAAGUCACUUGUGAAAUCUCCGGGCUUAACUCGGAACGGUCAAGUGAUACUGUCGGACUAGAGUACAGAAGGGGCAACUGGAAUUCUCGGUGUAGCGGUGAAAUGCGUAGAUAUCGAGAGGAACACCUGCGGCGAAGGCGGGUCUCUGGGCCGAUACUGACGCUGAGGAGCGAAAGCAUGGGGAGCGAACAGG